GGUGUGACUGAGUAUUCCCCAAAAAAGAGUGCUGAGGUGAAUGCAGGUGCCAGACGAAAAAUCCAUUAGGCUGGGAUCUUUGAACUGGCUGACCAUCUCAUCCACAACAUUCAGCCUGUGGACAUCAAUUGUGACAUUCUGUAGGACUUCAUGUGCCAAUGAUGGAGAGGUGGCACCAGAUGAUGGAGAGGUGGCACCAGAUGAUGGAGAGGUGACAGCAGAUGAUGGAGAGGUGACAGUAAUUGCAGCAUUUGUCCAGGAAAUCAAUGCAGUGUCUACAUUCAAUUGUUCCUAGGUGAGAAUAGAGAAGAUAUUUUAAGCAGAUACACAUGGAACAAAAAACCUUUUCAAUUCAAAUGUUACAAUGCAUUGAGUGAUCUUAAUAGUCACCUAAGAAUCUAACUUGUCAAGUGGUAUAGGGCAAUGGGAAUCAGCAGAGACCUCAGACAGUUCCACUGGUAGUAGCAGUACUUCUUCCUGUUGAAGACAAAAUGUCAUUGUCACCUUAAGAGAGGGCUCCAGACUAACAUUUUCUACCGAGUCUGUUGGUUGGCAUCAGCAAAUGAUUUGGUUGGAUAGAAGAAGAAAAAAGCAUGUAUACAGUGGGGAGAACAAGCUGCCGAUUUUGCAGGUUUUCCUACUUACAAAGCAUGUAGAGGUCUGUAAUUGUUAUCAUAGGUACACUUCAACUGUGAGAGAGGGAAUAAAAAAAAAUCACAUUGCAUGAUUUUUAAAUAAUUAAUUUGCUUUUUAUUGAAUGACAUAAGUAUUUGAUCACCUACCAACCAGUAAGAAUUCUGGCUCUCACAGACCAGUUAGUUUUUCUUUAAGAAACCCUCCUGUUCUCCACUCAUUACCUGUACUAACUGCACCUGUUUGAACUUGUUACCUGUAUGAAAGACACCUGUCCACACACUCAAUCAAACAGACUCCAACCUCUCCACAAUGGCCAAGACCAGAGAGCUGUGUAAGGACAUCAGGGAUAAAAUUGAAGACCUGCACAAGGCUGGGAUGGGCUUCAGGAGAGGUGACCGCAGAUGAUGGAGAGGUGACCGCAGAUGAUGGAGAGGUGACCGCAGAUGAUGGAGAGGUGACAGCAGAUGAUGGAGAAGUGGCAGCAGAUGAUGGAGAGGUGGUAGUAAUUGCGGCA
ensembl:lncRNA